GGUCAAAAACACGCAAAAUUCCACAACUUUUUUACAGGUUUCUGUUGUAAAAUUCUCCUUUUUCUUAUUUGACUUCACCGUGCUUGUAGAGAACGAAGAGGUGUACAUUGGGACCCCAAAAAUAAAAAAUGUAAUAAAAAAAGAAAAACAAAUUUAUAUUUUCAUAUUUGUUUAUAAUGGA
rnacentral:ribozyme from 1 species